UCUGAUCCCAAUCUCUAGUGAAAGCUCCAAAAUGAAGAGUGUUCAUGAAUUGUUGCCUAGAUUCACAAGUACAGCUUUCCCAAACCACGAAAAGGCUAUGAAUCAGCGCGAUUGAUCCUCAUUUCCUUCAUCGCCACUGUUUCUCGUAUCACCGUUGGGCCCUCUUCCACCUAGUGCAUGUCUCAUUUUUGACGAAAACCUUCAUUGGCUAAUAGGUGAGCAACUCGAUUCCCUCAUCUUUUUAUACGUUGAAAUUUAAACUUCCAAAAACCCAUAAGUAAUUGCUUGGCUUCCCAUAUAUAUAUGCUAACUUUCGAUAUGUCCAAAUGUUGCAUCUUUAUCUUCGAAAUGACCACCAUUGAAUCCCCCUUAAAGGCGAUCAGUGAAAACCCAUAUCCUGGGCAAAAUGAACAGCUUGAACUGCAUCCAGCGCCUCCACCACUUCAGUUGACUAAAUAUUUCUAUUCCAACUACAAUAUGCCCCCAUUAACAGACCAUUUUCAUCUCGAUACUGGAUUCUUACAGGUCACUGCAAAACCCUCCGUCAAAGUUGGCCUUCACCCAUUAGGUCUCUAGAAGGGUCCAUCGCAUAAGUUGGUAUUGGCUAGCCUUUGGGUAAGUCUUUUCUAUCAUUUCCAGUUCUUUAACAUACCCUAAAACAAACGAACUGAGCUCAUUAACUGUUUGCCUUGUUCCUUCAUGCAUCAGUUUGUUCCUUGACAACCAGAGAGCCUAUAUUGUUGGUAAAUACGUGAAUUUGAGUCACUUACUUUUACUAAUUUAUUGCAC
rnacentral:lncRNA from 1 species